GGGGAUGUAGCACAAAUGGUAGAGCAGUCGCUUUGCAUGCGAGAGGUAAGGGGUUGGAUACCCUCCAUCUCCA
rnacentral:tRNA from 1 species